rnacentral:rRNA from 1 species
GUGAGGAAUUUUCCUCAAUGGGCGAAAGCCUGACGGAGCAAUGCCGCGUGAAGGAUGAAGGCCUAUGGGUUGUAAACUUCUUUUCUUAGAGAAGAAUAUUGACGGUAUCUGAGGAAUAAGCAUCGGCUAACUCUGUGCCAGCAGCCGCGGUAAGACAGAGGAUGCAAGCGUUAUCCGGAAUGAUUGGGCGUAAAGCGUCUGUAGGUGGCUUCAAAAGUCUCCUGUCAAAGAUCAGGGCUUAACCCUGGGCCGGCAGGGGAAACUCUGAGGCUAGAGUUUGGUAGGGGCAGAGGGAAUUCCCGGUGGAGCGGUGAAAUGCUUAGAGAUCGGGAGGAACACCAAAGGCGAAAGCACUCUGCUGGGCCACAACUGACACUGAGAGACGAAAGCGAGGGGAGCAAAAGGGAUUAGAAACCCCAGUAGUCC